GGGCUCCGGCGUAGUGGUUUUCUUGCUGACACACUGUCCGCUUACAUCAGCUGCAAGACGCCCACUGGGUCAGGGUCCCAGUGGGAGAGAGAGGAUGCCGGCUCCGGGCUGUGUUGUGACUGUGAUUCUCAAGCACUGUUCCAUUUAUAAGUGGUUUGCAAAAGGUUAAUAACUGAAGAUGAGCCCACUAAAGAAAGCGACACACAUCACUGUUUAAGAACACAUCCCUUCAAGAUGUUAUUUACGAUCAUAAACACAUUGCUGGAAGCACUGCUAGUGGGUGCAGACAAUUAAUUGCCUUAAAGGAUUAAGUCAUUAAAAGUAGUUGAUCAACUGUCAGCAUUCCUUUAACUCUAUAAGCCAUGUGGAAGUGGAACCUCAAUGCUCCAUAUUACCAAGUUCUGGAUGACAAACACCCAUUGACUCAGAGGUCCGACAGUCACUCACAGACUACAUCACUGACGGAUCUGCUCUCGGAGAUGCAGGUGGAACAAUUUACAUGAGUACAACACCUGCACCUGAUGCCAGCUGUAAGCCACGGUGCUGAGCAAUGAUGCGUGACCAUGUCUGAUCUGUGACUCCACGUGCAUAAUUCAAGAAAAGCUUUGAAUCUGCAAAUCAAAUGAAUGCCUGUUUUCCCCUUACUACUGCCAGUAUAGAAUAGCAUAUCCCUCCCCAUUUCUCUCUGUCUCUUCCCCAACAAACCUCCACCAGCUGCACUUUUGAGACUUAGUUUAGGUGAGAACGUAUGGUCUGGUUUUCAGCUGGCAUAAAUCCGGUUUUGCUGGCUUCACUGGAGCAACGCUGAUUUACAUGGGCUGAUGACCUGUCUGUAUAUACAUUAAGGCAUAUUUAUCCAGCAAACCUGUCCACGAUGCUUUCUAUCUUCCAUUCCUUAUUCACUCAAACUCAGCUGGCUCUUUGAGGCCGGAAUUGCGCUCAUCUCCCUUCUGUGUUGUGUCUCUCGUAAAUGAGCCAGUUGGAAAGCACACUGUCCACCCUGCAGGAAGAUUAUACUCCAAGGUUAUAUAUUACAGCAUGAUGGGUGAGCUCCUGAAGGCUUCAGAGUGCAGGAUCAGUCCAGCCAACAAAACAAAAUAUCUCAGAAGGCUGGUUGUUAAAGCAUGGCAAGAAUAUCAGCACUACUAGAGAAAUGCUGGACAGAGACACACAAAUAAAG